rnacentral:rRNA from 1 species
UAGGGAAAAUUUACCCAUCGAAAAUCUAGUAACAAUUGGAGGACAAGUCUGGUGCCAGCACCCGCGGUAAUUCCAGCUCCAAAAGCGUAUAUUAAUGCUGUUGCUGUUAAAGGGUUCGUAGUUGAACUGUGGGCUGUGUAGGUUUGUUCCUGGUCGUCCCGUCCAUGUCGGAUUUUGGUGGCCCAGGCCCUUGCAGCCCGUGAACAUUCAAAGAAACAAGAAACACGGGAGUGGUUCCUUUCCUGACUCACGCAUGUCAUGCAUGCUGCAGGGGGCGUCCGUGAUUUUUACUGUGACUAAAGAAGUGUGACUAAAGCAGUCAUUUGACUUGAAUUAGCAAGCAUGGGAUAACAAAGGAGCAGCCUUUAGGCUACCGUUUCGGCUUUUGUUGGUUUUAAAGGUCUAUUGGAGAUUAUGGAGCUGUGCGACAAGUGCUUUCGCAUUCCG